AAGAAUAUAUAUCUCCGAGCUGGGGAGUCUAAGGCGAAGCUAUGAUUCACCAAGCCUGUAGGUGUAGACUGGAAACGGAUACGCCUUCCCGUAUUGUGAAAAGGAGUUAGUAUCAACUGU
rfam:Syntrophomonas wolfei subsp. wolfei str. Goettingen, complete genome.